UUAUUAGUCUCAGGUAUAAAACCGUUGUCGUUCUUUCAAUCUCAGCCUUCAAUUCUACAUCAUCCAAUUGCCUAAAUUUAUCCCUCUCACAAACUAAUUUUUUAAUGGCAAUUCAGUAAAUACUCCAAAGUUGAUCCACUGCUCAACCUAGCGCGGAGGGAUGCCGUAGACGUCCCAACCUCUUCUCUCUCUGUAAAUGUCCAAAGCAGAGCACUCUCUCGCGAAUUCAAAAAAAUUCCCCUCAAACCUCUUCUCUACAAGGCGUCUCAACCCAAAAUGGAGUGAGUAAGGUCAGCUCCGUAGCGAUCUCUAUUUUGAUUGUUCAUAAAUCGGGAUUCUUCUUUUAUGUGGGUUUGAUCUAGGGUUCGAUAAUGGCCUAUCCGGAGGGCUUGGAAAGAUUUCCCCUAUCUCCCGCGGCCCCGCUACAUUGAUGUCUCUGUGCUGCAACCGUUUCAACUGUCUCCGUGCUGCAACCGCUUCAACCCAUAACUCAGAUUGGUGGUAAUUUUUAUUUCGGCUUUGAAUUAUUUUGGUGUCCAUAGUGGAAAAAUCUUGGCUACUCCAAUUUUUGUUGUUUUUACAUUUAGUUUAACCUAAAAAAAAAAUAUUGUAUUCAAGUUAGGCUUUUGAUUGGAAAGCAAGGUUUUGGGUAUUUAUAUGGUGUUGACAAAUUAGUCAGAGUAGGGGACUUAGAGUUCGAGUUGCCUGAGCAACGCUAUAGUUUUUGCAGUUCUAUUUGUUCUCCGUUUCAGAUUUUCCCUAUCUCCCGCCCCGCUUCAACUGUCUCCGUGCUUGCAACCGCUUCAACUGUCUCCGUGCUGCAACCGCUUCAACUGUCUCCGUGCUUCAACCCAUAACUCAGAUUGGUGGUAAUUUUUAUUUCGGCUUUGAAUGAUUUCGGUGUCCAUAGUGGAAAAUUUUUGCCUACUCCAAUCUUUACUGUUUUUACAUUUAAAAAUAAUUUGUAUUCAAGUUAGGCUUUUGAUUGGAAAGCAUGGUUUUGGGUAUUUAUAUGGUGUUGACAAAUUAGUCAGAGUAGGGGACUUAGAGUUUGAGUUGCCUGAGCAACGCUAUAGUUUUUGCAGUUUUUUACCAUCUUCCUAAUGAGUGUACAGUAGUAUCAUGACAAUGACAGCCAACUGUAUAGUGGCAAAAUGAGUGACAAGAAAGACAUAACUCCGCCUACGGUAGAUUGGCGGAUAUUUGUUUUAUUUUCUUUAUAGCACGUAAAAGAAUCUGAACUUCCUGUUUUAGUAAGAGCUGACUGGGUAUGCCAAGAGAUUUAGCACCGCCAUUUUGUACAGUCACCCUCCAUCACUCGUGUUUGAAAUCUUUUUCUUUUGAUCCAAAACAUUUAAAAGACACUGAUUGUGUGGUGCCCUGAUUUUUUAUUGUGUGUAAAAGAUGGUGUAUCUGGAGAGCCAUUGAUGAUGUAUCUGGAUGCCUCUACAAGCUUGGUAAGGUAAUUUCAUUUGCUGUAGUCAUUUACUUUUGUAAACUCUCUCACCUUUUUUAGUAAAGUCUCUUACCUUUUUUGGGGAUCUUCAAGUAUAUAUGGCCUUAGAUAUCAAGGCUCAAAAUUUACCAUGUUAACACUUUUGCCCAACCAUAGAUAGGAAUAUUCAGGGGUGGUGUAAAAGGGGGCAGAAAGAACAAUGCCCGACUUCGAACAGUGUAAGUUUGGAGAUAAAAACAUCGUGGAAUGUGUAAGUUUGGAACAGUGUUAGGUGGUAAAUCUAAUGAAGAUGGAUAUUGACCCCAA